rnacentral:lncRNA from 1 species
UAGAGGUGAAAAAGCCAAGGAAUGAGAAGAAUACAGAAGAUACCCAAGCAUCUAAUGAAUGCUAUCUUGUUCAGUGGUGAUCUCUUAUAGUUUUCACAAGCUGACACACAGCAUAUUGCUGUGCAGAUGGGACAAAUAACCAUGUUCUGAUCAGGCCCCUCGAUCUGGCAGUCUGCAAGGCUAAGACACCCAGCUCAAGUGCACAGGGGACGAGGCAGAUCUGGGACAAAUACCCUUUAGAGGUUAUGAACAUCACUGUACAGCAAAGUCAUAAUUUGACUUAUAUUCAUUGCCUUACUCGUGAAAUAUUGCCUAAAACAGGUUAGCUAGAAAGAAUCUGGCUUCCCAAAAUUUGUUCCUACCUAUUCACUAUGAUGUAUAAUACUGCCAAUCAGUUGCAGUCUCCAUCUAGCAGCAUCGUGGACUCUUUUUACUUCUAUAAACUCUGCAAACACAUUCAGUUUUCAGUCUAGCUGGCAGUACUGCUGGCACAUGAAUGACUCUGUCCUCAUGGAAUUGCCUGAAAGAAGAAAAAGCAUUGUUAUCUGAACAGAAUAAGUAGCAAGGGGUAAUCUUGGCA